rnacentral:rRNA from 1 species
UACAGAGGUCUCAAGCGUUGUUCGGAUUCAUUGGGCGUAAAGGGUGCGUAGGCGGCGCGGUAAGUCGGGUGUGAAAUCUCGGAGCUUAACUCCGAAACUGCAUUCGAUACUGCCGUGCUUGAGGACUGGAGAGGAGACUGGAAUUUACGGUGUAGCGGUGAAAUGCGUAGAUAUCAGGAGGAACACCGGUGGCGAAGGCGGCUCUCUGGACGGUGACUGACGCUGAGACGCGAAAGCGUGGGGAGCAAACAGG